rnacentral:rRNA from 1 species
UGCCGCGUGUGUGAAGAAGGCCUUAGGGUUGUAAAGCACUUUAAGCAGGAAAGAAAAGCGCCGGGUUAAUACCCCGAGCGUAUUGACGGUACCUGCAGAAUAAGCACCGGCUAACUCCGUGCCAGCAGCCGCGGUAAUACGGAGGGUGCAAGCGUUAAUCGGAAUUACUGGGCGUAAAGCGAGUGCAGGCGGUCGCGUGUGUCGGGUGUGAAAGCCCCGGGCUCAACCUGGAAAUUGCAUCCGAAACUGCGUGACUAGAAUAUGGUAAAGGAAGACGGAAUUCCACGUGUAGCGGUGAAAUGCGUAAAUAUGUGGAGGAACACCAAUGGCAAAGGCAGUCUUCUGGGCCAAUAUUGACGCUGAGGCUCGAAAGCGUGGGUAGCAAACAGGAUUAGAUACCCUGGUAGUCCACGCCGUAAACGCUGAGAACUAGACGUUGGCUGACAUAGUCGGCCAGUGUCGCAGCUAACGCGUUAAGUUCUCCGCCUGGGGAGUACGGCCGCAAGGUUGAAACUCAAAGAAAUUGGACGGG